rnacentral:rRNA from 1 species
CUACGGGUCGCUGCAGUGGGGAAUAUUGCACAAUGGGCGCAAGCCUGAUGCAGCCAUGCCGCGUGCAUGAAGAAGGCCUUCGGGUUGUAAAGUACUUUCAGCGGGGAGGAAGGGAGUAAAGUUAAUACCUUUGCUCAUUGACGUUACCCGCAGAAGAAGCACCGGCUAACCCCGUGCCAGCAGCCGCGGUAAUACGGAGGGUGCAAGCGUUAAUCGGAAUUACUGGGCGUAAAGCGCACGCAGGCGGUUUGUUAAGUCAGAUGUGAAAUCCCCGGGCUCAACCUGGGAACUGCAUCUGAUACUGGCAAGCUUGAGUCUCGUAGAGGGGGGUAGAAUUCCAGGUGUAGCGGUGAAAUGCGUAGAGAUCUGGAGGAAUACCGGUGGCGAAGGCGGCCCCCUGGACGAAGACUGACGCUCAGGUGCGAAAGCGUGGGGAGCAAACAGGAUUAGAUACCCUCGUAGUC